rnacentral:lncRNA from 1 species
UUUGAAUUUUAGAUAAACAACGAAUAAUUUCUUAGCCUAAAUAUGUCCCAAGCUUCGUUUGGGACAUACUUAUGCUAAAAAACAUUAUUGGUUGUUUAUCUGAGAUUCAAAAUUAAGCAUUUUGUACUUUAUUUGCUACCUCUGGCCACCCUACUCUCUUCCUAAUACUCUCUCCCUCUCCCAGUUUUGUCCGCCUUCCCUGCCUCCUCUUCUGGGGGAGUUAGAUGGAGUUGUAACAACAUGCCGCUGUCUCACUGGCUGCAGCAUGUGGUCCCCUUACCAGAGUGAGGAUGCGAAGAGAAGGUGGCUGUCUGCAAACCAGGAAGAGAGCCCUCACCAGGAACCCGUCCAGCUGCCACCUUGAACUUGGACUUCCAAGCCUCCAGAACCGUGAGGGAUAAAUGUAUGAUUUUAAAGUCA